rnacentral:rRNA from 1 species
GAACGCGAAGAACCUUACCAGGUCUUGACAUUGAUGGACGAAACAAGAGAUUGUUUUUCUCCUUCGGGAGCCAGAAAACAGGUGGUGCACGGCUGUCGUCAGCUCGUGUCGUGAGAUGUUGGGUUAAGUCCCGCAACGAGCGCAACCCCUAUCUUAUGUUGCCAGCACGUAAUGGUGGGAACUCAUGAGAGACUGCCGCAGACAAUGCGGAGGAAGGCGGGGAUGACGUCAAGUCAUCAUGCCCCUUAUGACCUGGGCUACACACGUACUACAAUGGGCUUUAAUAGAGGGAAGCGAAGUCGCGAGGUGGAGCAAACCCCAGAAACAAGCUCUCAGUUCGGAUCGUAGGCUGCAACUCGCCUACGUGAAGUCGGAAUCGCUAGUAAUCGCAGGUCAGCAUACUGCGGUGAAUACGUUCCCGGGUCUUGUACACACC